rnacentral:rRNA from 1 species
CCUACGGGUGGCUGCAGUGGGGAAUAUUGCACAAUGGGCGCAAGCCUGAUGCAGCCAUGCCGCGUGUGUGAAGAAGGCCUUCGGGUUGUAAAGCACUUUCAGCGGGGAGGAAGGCGGUGAGGUUAAUAACCUCAUCGAUUGACGUUACCCGCAGAAGAAGCACCGGCUAACUCCGUGCCAGCAGCCGCGGUAAUACGGAGGGUGCAAGCGUUAAUCGGAAUUACUGGGCGUAAAGCGCACGCAGGCGGUCUGUCAAGUCGGAUGUGAAAUCCCCGGGCUCAACCUGGGAACUGCAUUCGAAACUGGCAGGCUAGAGUCUUGUAGAGGGGGGUAGAAUUCCAGGUGUAGCGGUGAAAUGCGUAGAGAUCUGGAGGAAUACCGGUGGCGAAGGCGGCCCCCUGGACAAAGACUGGCGCUCAGGUGCGAAAGCGUGGGGAGCAAACAGGAUUAGAUACCCUAGUAGUC